AGUGGAAUUGCUGGGUCAUAAGCAUAUUUUUAAUUUUAUAAGAAAUUGCCAAACUGUUUUCCAAAGUGACUGUGCCAUUUGCAUUCCCAUUGGCCAU
rnacentral:pre_miRNA from 3 species